CAUAUGGCAUGGCGGUUUUAAGUAGCCUCGAUGUCGGCUCAUCGCAUCCUGGGGCUGAAGUAGGUCCCAAGGGUUGGGCUGUUC
rnacentral:rRNA from 1 species